rnacentral:rRNA from 1 species
UCUGGUGAUUAUAGAGCGGAUGAAACCCUCUGUUCCAUUCCGAACCAGACAGGGAAAAGCCGUAUCGCCGAUGGUACUUUGGCUUAAGCCACGGAAGAGUAGGUCGUCGCCAGAA